CGUGGGUAACCUGCCCAAGAGACUGGGAUAACACCUGGAAACAGAUGCUAAUACCGGAUAACAACACUAGACGCAUGUCUAGAGUUUAAAAGAUGGUUCUGCUAUCACUCUUGGAUGGACCUGCGGUGCAUUAGCUAGUUGGUAGGGUAACGGCCUACCAAGGCGAUGAUGCAUAGCCGAGUUGAGAGACUGAUCGGCCACAUUGGGACUGAGACACGGCCCAAACUCCUACGGGAGGCAGCAGGG
rnacentral:rRNA from 1 species